rnacentral:rRNA from 1 species
AAUUUUAAUAUUUAGUUCAAUCUUUUUAGAAAAGAAACAUCAUUUAUAUUUAGUAAUGGUGAAUGAAACAAUUGCAUAUUAAUAUGAAAAUCGUACCGUAUGGAAAAUUAUAAAUUUUUUUUAAGUAGAACUUUGAUUUCGUACCUUUUGUAUCAUGGUUUAGCAAGAAAAUUUUUUAAAUUAAAUUUCUCGAAACCUAAGGAGCUACCUUAAUUUUGGUUUAGCCUUAAGUAAAGGUGAGUGUAGCAGAACUCUAUUUAAAAAUUAAGGUAGAAAUUAAAUGUUAUUCGUCUUAGGUGAUAGCUAGUUAUAAUAUAAAGAUAUAUAAGUAUUGGGUGUAAUUUUAUUAUGUGCUUAUGUUAUGUACAUAAUGAUUUAUUUUCUUGAUUAUGCGAGGGUAAGCUCACAUAAAUUUAAUUUAGCUAAAAUUAUAUAUAAAUCUAAGCUUGGGAUUAGCUAUGAUAACGAAUUUGUUAAAAAUACAUAUGUAUAUAAAAACUUUGUAAUAUAUUAAAUUUAUAUUAUUUAAUGAUGUAAUUAUGGUGUGAUUAAUUUAUGCUAAAAUGAGUAUUAUUAUAGAUUAAAACAAAAAAUAAAUUAAAUUUUUUUAAAAAUUUUUUAUAGAUAUUAUAAAAUAUAUCAUAGGAACUCGGCAAAACUUAGCUCCGCCUGUUUAGCAAAAACAUGUCUCUUUGAAAGCAAAACAUGAAGAGUCUGGCCUGCCCGG